GACUGGCAAUGGAAGAGGAGAAGAAAGCGGGGGUGAAAGCAGGCUCGGGAUAGGCUGAGAGAAAAGACUGGCUCACUGAGGUUGCUGCAUCUACACUGUGGAAUUAAUUAAGUUUGUCACUACAUCGUGUCCAUGUCGUGGAAUCCAGGGAUAUGUAGUUUGGUGAAGCACACGGGACGUGUAGUUUGGUGAGAGAAGGCUAAAGACCUUGUAGAGCUACAACUCCCAGGAUUCCACAGCAUUGACGCAUGGCACUCCAAGUGGUGUCAAACUGCAUUAAUUCUGUAAUGUAAACGUACCCUAUAGACUGACUGGAAAUCAAUGCAGGUUUUGCUUUGGCAAUUUCUCAGAGCUGAGGAAGCAGGGAUUUAAGCGGACCAUUGAGUCCCUCUGCUGCCACCUGCUGGUUGGAGAUCUCAUGGCGAUAUUUUGAAUUGCCAGAUGUCCAAGCUGGGUUCAGAAAAGGCAGAGGAACGAGAGGCCAAAUUGUCAAUAUCCGCUGGAUAAUGGAGGAAGCCAGGGAGUUCCAGAAAAACAUCUACUUCUGCUUUAUUGUCUAUUCUAAAGCCUUCGACUGUGUGGAUCAUAAUAAACUGUGGCAUGUUCUUGGUGGUCUGGGGAUACCAAGUCACCUUGUCUGUCUCCUGAGAAAUCUGUAUAAAGACCAAGUAGCCGCAGUAAGAACAGAUCACGGAACAACAGACUGGUUCAAGAUUGGGAAAGGCUGUAUACUCUCACCCUCCCUAUUCAACUUGUACGCAGAACACAUCAUGCGACGUGCGGGGCUUGAGGAAUCCAAGGCCGGAGUUAAAAUUGCUGGAAGGAACAUUAACAACCUUAGAUAUGCAGAUGAUACCACUCUGAUGGCCAAAAGUGAGGAAGACCUGAGGAGCCUUAUCACCAAGGUGAAAGAAGAAAGUGCAAAAGCCGGGCUGCAGUUAAACGUCAAGAAAACCAAGAUCAUGGCAACCAGACCGAUUGACAACUGGCAAAUAGAGGGAGAAACGUGGAGGCAGUGACAGACUUUAUAUUUCUAGGCGCGAAGAUCACUGCAGAUGCAGACUUCAGCCAGGAAAUCAGAAGACGUCUACUUCUUGGGAGGAGAGCAAUGGCCAACCUUGACAAAAUAGUGAAGAGCAGAGACAUCACACUGGCAACGAAGGUCCGCAUAGUCAAAGCAAUGGUAUUCCCCAUAGAAACCUAUGGAUGCGAGAGCUGGACCAUAAGGAAGGCUGAGCUAAAGAAGAUGGCUGCUUUUGAACUUUGGUGCUGGAGGAAAAUCCAGAGAGUGCCUUGGACCGUAAGAAGAUCCAUCCAGUCCGUCCUCCAGGAAAUAAUGCCCAAUGGCUGCUCACUGGAGGGAAGGACAUUAGAGGCAAAGAUGAAGUAUUUUGGCCACAUCAUGAGGAGACAGGAAAGCUUGGAAAAGAUCACGAUGCUGGAGAAAAUGGAAGGAAAAAGGAAGAGAGGCCGACCAAGGGCAAGAUGGAUGGAUGGAUGGAUGGAUCCUUGAAGUGACUGGCUUGACCUUGAAGGAACUGGGGGCAGUGACAGCCGACAGGGAGCUCUGGCGUGGACUGGUCCAUGAGGUCACGAAGAGUCAGAAACGACUAUGCGAUUGAGCAGCAGCAGAUCUAGAAUUACAGUUUGGACACUCCUUGCCCUGAAGCAUGCAACACAGUUGCCCCAGGGAUUCUGUAUCCGCGGAUUCAAUUAUCCCAUGGAUUGGGAAUUUUAAAAAAUCCAACAAAGCAAACCUUGAUUUUGGCAUCUUACGGUAUGCAAGGGACACUUAUUUUAUUAUGCCGUUAAGGAACAUAAGUUUGUCCAUGCUGUGUAUCUCUUCCAAUUUAUACAUCCAAGAGUCUUUCUUCGGAGUUUCUUCUAAUUUCCAAACUUUCGCGAAUGUCAUCCUGGCGGCUGUAGCACAAUAUGUAAAUAAAAUGUCAUCAUUUGUAUCAAAUUUAAUCUCAUUAUCUAUAAUGAAUAAUAUCCUAAUAAAUAAUAUUCAGGUUUUAAUAAAUAUUUCUUUUGUAAAAUAAUUUGUGUUUCUUGGUGAAUCAUUUCCCAAUAUUUUUUAGUCUUUUCACAAGUCCACCAUAGAUGGUAGAAUGAGCCUUCCUGGAUUUUACAUUUCCAACAUUUCCUAUCAUAAUUUUUAUACAUUUGACCUAAUGUUUUUGGCAUCAUAUACUAUCUGUGGAAUAGUUUAAGCCAGUUUUCCUUUAAGUCGGAAGCAUAUGUAUAUUUCAUCUUGUUAUUCCAAAUUUCUUCCCAUUCUGCUAGUUUAAUCGGGCAGCCAAUAUUCCUAGCCCAUUUCACCAUACAGUUCUUGAUUUCUUCCAUUUCCGUUGACCAUUCUAGUAAAAUAGUAUAAAUCUUAGAAAUUGUUUUCUUAUUGUUUAGUGUUAUUUUGUCCCAAACAUUGUCAGGGUUGCUGAAACCAAUUAUAUUGUCCUUGUUAAACUGUUCCUUUAUUUGUGCAUAUUGGGGCCGGGCUGUGGCGCAGGCUGUUGAGCAGCUGCAAUAAAUCACUCUGACCAUGAGGUCAUGAGUUCGAGGCCAGCCCGUGGCGGGGUGAGCACCCAUCAAUUAAAAGUAAAAAAUAGACCCUGCUCGUUGCUGACUUAGCAACCCGAAAGAUAGUUGCAUCUAUCAAGUAGGAAAUAAGGUACCACUUAUAAAAGUGGGGAGGCAAGUUUAACUAAUUUACGACUUGGAAUGAGGAAGUGCCGUCAGAGUGGAUGAUGAAGCAGCUGCUCCCCCUUGUGGCCAGAAUCGAACAUCCCCUCAGGAGAAGGUUAAAUUGCCUCUGCGUCUGUCUGUCUCGGUCUCUGUUUGAUGUGUUUAUGGGCAUUGAAUGUUUGCCCUAUGUGUGUAUAAUGUGAUCCGCCCUGAGUCCCCUUUGGGGUGAGAAGGGCGGAAUAUAAAUACUGUAAGUAAAUAAAUAAAUAAAUAAAUAUUGAAACCAGGAAAUACCAGGGAAAUUCAACUUUA